GUGGGGAAUUUUGGACAAUGGGCGCAAGCCUGAUCCAGCCAUGCCGCGUGAGUGAAGAAGGCCUUCGGGUUGUAAAGCUCUUUCAGACGGAAAGAAAUCUCUCAGGAUAAUACCUUGGGAGGAUGACGGUACCGUAAGAAGAAGCACCGGCUAACUACGUGCCAGCAGCCGCGGUAAUACGUAGGGUGCGAGCGUUAAUCGGAAUUACUGGGCGUAAAGCGUGCGCAGGCGGUGAUGUAAGACAGAUGUGAAAUCCCCGGGCUCAACCUGGGAACUGCGUUUGUGACUGCAUCACUCGAGUACGGCAGAGGGAGGUGGAAUUCCGCGUGUAGCAGUGAAAUGCGUAGAUAUGCGGAGGAACACCGAUGGCGAAGGCAGCCUCCUGGGCCAGUACUGACGCUCAUGCACGAAAGCGUGGGGAGCAAACAGGAUUAGAUACCCCGGUAGUCC
rnacentral:rRNA from 1 species